GACCGCGUAGCUCAGUUGGCAGAGCAUUGGGCUAGUAUUCCAAAGGUCGUAGGUUCGAUCCCCACCGUGGCCA